rnacentral:rRNA from 1 species
UACGUAGGAGGCAAGCGUUGUCCGGAAUUACUGGGCGUAAAGCGCACGUAGGCGGCUUUGUAAGUUAGAGGUGAAAGCCCGGGGCUCAACUCCGGAAUUGCCUUUAAGACUGCAUCGCUAGAAUUGUGGAGAGGUAAGUGGAAUUCCGAGUGUAGAGGUGAAAUUCGUAGAUAUUCGGAAGAACACCAGUGGCGAAGGCGACUUACUGGACACAUAUUGACGCUGAGGUGCGAAAAGCGGUGGGGAGCAAACAGG